GGACUACCGGGGUUUCUAAUCCCGUUUGCUCCCCUAGCUUUCGCGCCUCAGCGUCAGAAGAGGACCAGCAGCUCGCUUUCGCCACCGGAGUUCCUUCCGAUAUCAACGCAUUUCACCGCUCCACCGGAAGUUCCAGCUGCCCCUGCCUCCCUCCAGCCAAUCAGUAUCCAAGGCACUUUUCCGGUUAAGCCGAAAGAUUUCACCCCGGACUUGAUCGACCGCCUACGCGCCCUUUAAGCCCAGUGAUUCCGAACAACGUUCGCACGGUUCGUCUUACCGCGGCGGCUGGCAC
rnacentral:rRNA from 3 species